rnacentral:rRNA from 1 species
AUGCAAAGAACUUUGAAAAGAGAGUUAAAGAGUACCUGAAAUUGCUGAAAGGGAAGCGAAGGAAACCAGUGUCAGAUAUGCCUGUAUUUCCUCUAUCUGUCAAGAGAGAGGCGCUGUGGGUAUGUUUGGGCCAGCAUCUGUUUGAUUCGAAUCAAAUUGCUUUUGGGGAGGUAGGAUCUUCGGAUCUGAAGACCCAUUUGUGUUGUUUUGGAUUGGACAGAGGUAGUCUUAUAGCUCGUGAUGCUGGCGAAAUGGUUUUCUUUACCCCGUCUUGAAACACGGACCAAGGAGUCUAACAUAUGUGCGAGUAUAGGAGUGCCAAACUCCCAUGCGUAAUGAAAGUAACAGUGGUAGGACCCUCUGGGGCACUAUCCGCCGGCCACAAUCCUUCGGGAGAAAGGUCUGAGUGUGAGCAUACAUGUUGGGACCCGAAAGAUGGUGAACUAUGCCUGAAUAGGGCGAAGCCAGGGGAAACUCUGGUGGAGGCUCGUAGCGAUUCUGACGUGCAAAUCGAUCGUCAAAUUUGGGUAUAGGGGCGAAAGACUAAUCGAACCAUCUAGUAGCUGGUUCCCUCCGAAAUUUCCCUCAGGAUAGCUGCAAUCGAAUCAGUUUUGUUA